GUAGAAUCGUGAGAGACAAAGUGAAAUGUCUAAAAAUGGCUUUUGUGUUAGAGUGAUGAUUUUUUUUUAUUUGAAAAUACAUUGUGUACAUAUAGGAAGUGACAAAAAUUUUCCCCACCCACCUUGUAUUUAAUAUUUUUUUAAUAUUUUUUUUUUGGAUAAGAAUUUGGUGCAAACCUCAGUCAGAAUGUACAUUGUAUGAUGGUGCAUGCAGGUUAGAAACAUUUUUGGAUUGAAAGAUAUUUUUACUGCUAUAACAGGGAACGAUUUGAAUGCUUUUUGUGCUAAUGUUUAUGUAUACAUGCAUUCAUAUUUGUCAGUUGUAUGUAAAUGUGCAAAUACACAAAAGAUUAUGUACCUAAGCUUGCAUUGUUGAUGUGUGUGCAGAUACAUAAAUGUGUAUAAAAUUUCUAAAACAUGUACAUGUGUGCAAGACACAUUACUACACAAAUUGUUAUGUGAGCUAUAUUUCAUGUUGAUGUGCUUGACAUUAUGUGAAUAUGCCAACAUUCUGCUGAUGUGAAGUACGUUUAGCUUGUUGGGUUUUUUUUUUUUUCAACUGUGAUACAUUGGGUGUGCAAGUUAUACAUGUAAUUAAUUUAUACCAUAAUGAUAAAAACCAUGAUUGAAUAAAUUGAAAAAAAAAAAUCU
rnacentral:sRNA from 1 species